rnacentral:rRNA from 1 species
UACAGAGGUCCCGAGCGUUGUUCGGAUGCACUGGGAGUAAAGGGUGCGCAGGUGGGUUGGCAAGUUUGAUGUGAAAGCCCCGGGCUUAACCCGGGAAUGGCAUUGAAUACUGCUGAUCUGGAGGAUUGGAGGGGGGACUGGAAUUCUUGGUGUAGCAGUGAAAUGCGUAGAUAUCAAGAGGAACACCAGUGGCGAAGGCGAGUCCCUGGACAAUACCUGACACUGAGGCACGAAAGCGUGGGGAGCAAACAGG